AUAUUGGACAAUGGGCGCAAGCCUGAUCCAGCCAUGCCGCGUGAGUGAUGAAGGCCCUAGGGUUGUAAAGCUCUUUCACCGGUGAAGAUAAUGACGGUAACCGGAGAAGAAGCCCCGGCUAACUUCGUGCCAGCAGCCGCGGUAAUACGAAGGGGGCUAGCGUUGUUCGGAAUUACUGGGCGUAAAGCGCACGUAGGCGGAUUGUUAAGUGAGGGGUGAAAUCCCAGGGCUCAACCCUGGAACUGCCUCUCAUACUGGCAAUCUCGAGUUCGAGAGAGGUGAGUGGAAUUGCGAGUGUAGAGGUGAAAUUCGUAGAUAUUCGCAGGAACACCAGUGGCGAAGGCGGCUCACUGGCUCGAUACUGACGCUGAGGUGCGAAAGCGUGGGGAGCAAACAGG
rnacentral:rRNA from 1 species